UGAGCAACCCGUCCCGAAGACCGGGAUAACACCGGGAAACCGGUGCUAAUACCGGAUGUCCCCACCAAGCCACAUGGCUCGGUGAGGAAAUGGAUUCCGCUUCGGGAGGGGCUCGCGGGCUAUCAGCUUGUUGGUGGGGUAACGGCCUACCAAGGCAACGAUGCGUAGCCGACCUGAGAGGGUGAUCGGCCACAUUGGAACUGAGACACGGUCCAGACUCCUACGGGAGGCAG
rnacentral:rRNA from 1 species